GUUUUACUGGUGUUACUGGUUUGGCUGAUGAGACGAUCUGUUCAGAGGAAACCCGAAGAGAGUGAUCCGGCUGCGGUCAACACAGCGGUGGGAAUGGAAGACAUCACUUAUGGUAAAAUCAUCAAAAACAAAUCAACCACUAGAGACUUUAAACCAGAGCCAGACGUCGUCUACUCUUCACUGAAGUAGUCCACCAGUCCAACCACUGACGUCCAGCUGCUGGUCUCUAACUGGUCCCCCAGCACCUCACACCAGAGGACAUCCACAUCCUGAAAGAAUUUGUUUAUGUUUUGUCUUUUUCACACCAAAUUAGACAAACUAUUUAAAAAAACACAUAUUUUAACUCCCAUUUUAAGAGUGUAUUUUUUCUUGCCAGAUCAAAAAAAGGUUUUAUAAACAUGUUUGUAUAUUUUAUGUGUAGUAACCUCAGUGCCAUUAGUAUUUUAUUUGUGCUUGUUGACUAAUAUUCCCAAGCCUGUGGUCUGUUAUCUUUGCAGUAUUAAUAAACUUUUCUCCAAAAGUUGAUUCUGUUCAUCUGGACGAUUGAUCAA